rnacentral:tRNA from 1 species
GGGCAGUUAGCUCAGUGGUAGAGCACUACGUUGACAUCGUAGGGGUCAGUGGUUCGAUGCCACUACUGCCCACCA